AGAGCAAAAGAACAAAGUUUCCACAGUGUGGAAAACGACCCAAGCAGGUUGCCACUGCUGGCUCGGGCAGCCUGCUUUUAUUCUCUUAUCUGGCCCCACCCACAUCCUGCUGAUUGGUAGAGCCGAGUGGUCUGUUUUGACAGGGUGCUGAUUGGUGCGUUUACAAUCCCUGAGCUACAUACAAAGGUUCUCCACGUCCCCAUCAGAUUAGUUAGAUACAGAAUAUGGACACAGAGGUCCUCCAAGGCCCCUCCAGAGCAGCUAGAUACAGAGUGUCGAUUGGUGCACUCACAAACCCUGAGCUAGACACAGGGUGCUGAUUGGUGUGUUUACAAACCUUGAGCUAGAUACAGAGUGCCGAUUGGUGUAUUUACAAUCCCUGAGCUAGACAUAAAGGUUCUCCAAGGCCCUACCAGAGCAGCUAGAUACAGAGUGUCCAUUGGUGUACUCACAAAUCCUUAGCUAGACACAGGGUGCUGAUUGGUGCAUUUGCAAACC
rnacentral:lncRNA from 1 species